UACGAAGGGGGCUAGCGUUGCUCGGAAUCACUGGGCGUAAAGCGCACGUAGGCGGAUUGCUAAGUCAGGGGUGAAAUCCUGGAGCUCAACUCCAGAACUGCCCUUGAUACUGGCGGUCUCGAGUCCGGGAGAGGUGAGUGGAACUGCGAGUGUGGAGGUGAAAUUCGUAGAUAUUCGCAAGAACACCAGUGGCGAAGGCGGCUCACUGGCCCGGUACUGACGCUGAGGUGCGAAAGCGUGGGGAGCAAACAGGG
rnacentral:rRNA from 1 species